CUUGAAGUGUUUAACAAUGAGUUGACUAAGAUAAAUGCACUAAGUUUUUUAAAAAGGGAGAUUGUAAUUUACUCUGGACAAGAGAGACUCCAUUAUUGGAAUGUGGAGACUGGAAAGUCUCAAAGACGAAAGGGAAUGUGAUUAGAAGAGGGUAAUCUGCUCGCGCUCUUUGUUGAGACCUUCUUUGACCAUGGCAGGUAUCCACGUAGGCAUCUCUUGAAUGGUUUUCA
rnacentral:lncRNA from 1 species